UACGUAGGGGGCAAGCGUUGUCCGGAAUUAUUGGGCGUAAAGCGCGUGUAGGCGGCUCGGUAAGUCUGCUGUGAAAGUCCAGGGCUCAACCCUGGAAUGCCGGUGGAUACUGUCGAGCUCGAGUCCGGAAGAGGCGAGUGGAAUUCCUGGUGUAGCGGUGAAAUGCGCAGAUAUCAGGAAGAACACCCGUGGCGGAGGCGGCUCUCUGGGACGGUACUGACGCUGAGACGCGAAAGCGUGGGGAGCAAACAGG
rnacentral:rRNA from 1 species